rnacentral:rRNA from 1 species
UACAGAGGGGGCAAGCGUUAUUCGGAAUUAUUGGGCGUAAAGGGCGCGUAGGCGGCUUGGCAAGUGGAUGGUGAAAUCCCUCGGCUUAACCGAGGAACUGCCGUCCAAACUGCUUCGCUUGAGACCGGGAGAGGUGAGUGGAAUUCUCAGUGUAGCGGUGAAAUGCGUAGAUAUUGGGAGGAACACCAGUGGCGAAGGCGGCUCACUGGACCGGUACUGACGCUGAUGCGCGAAAGCGUGGGGAGCAAACGGG